UACAGAGGUCCCAAGCGUUGUUCGGAUUCAUUGGGCGUAAAGGGUGCGUAGGCGGCGCGGUAAGUCGGGGUGUGAAAUCUCGGGGCUUAACUCCGAAACUGCAUUCGAUACUGCCGUGCUUUGAGGACUGGAGGGGAGACUGGAAUUUACGGUGUAGCGGUGAAAUGCGUAGAUAUCAGGAGGAACACCGGUGGCGAAGGCGGAUCUCUGGGCCAUUACUGACGCUGAGGAGCGAAAAGCGUGGGGGAGCGAACAGG
rnacentral:rRNA from 1 species